rnacentral:rRNA from 1 species
CCUACGGGGGGCAGCAGUGGGGAAUGUUGGACAAUGGGCGAAAGCCUGAUCCAGCCAUGCCGCGUGUGUGAAGAAGGCCUUCGGGUUGUAAAGCACUUUCAGUGGGGAAGAAAGCCUUGGGGCUAAUACCCUCGAGGAAGGACAUCACCCACAGAAGAAGCACCGGCUAACUCCGUGCCAGCAGCCGCGGUAAUACGGAGGGUGCGAGCGUUAAUCGGAAUUACUGGGCGUAAAGCGCGCGUAGGCGGUCUGAUAAGCCGGUUGUGAAAGCCCCGGGCUCAACCUGGGAACGGCAUCCGGAGCUGUCAGGCUAGAGUGCAGGAGAGGAAGGUAGAAUUCCCGGUGUAGCGGUGAAAUGCGUAGAGAUCGGGAGGAAUACCAGUGGCGAAGGCGGCCUUCUGGACUGACACUGACGCUGAGGUGCGAAAGCGUGGGUAGCAAACAGGAUUACAUACCCGAGUAGUC